rnacentral:rRNA from 1 species
UCCUCCCUCUUUCUUCGUGCCUAAUACAUGCAAGUAGAACGCUGAAGGAGGAGCUUGCUUCUCUGGAUGAGUUGCGAACGGGUGAGUAACGCGUAGGUAACCUACCUGGUAGCGGGGGAUAACUCUUGGAAACGAUAGCUAAUACCGCAUAAGAGUAGAUGUCGCAUGACAUUUGCUUAAAAGGUGCAAUUGCAUCACUACCAGAUGGACCUGCGUUGUAUUAGCUAGUUGGUGAGGUAACGGCUCACCAAGGCAACGAUACAUAGCCGACCUGAGAGGGGGAUCGGCCACACUGGGACUGAGACACGGCCCAGACUCCUACGGGAGGCAGCAGUAGGGAAUCUUCGGCAAUGGACGGAAGUCUGACCGAGCAACGCCGCGUGAGUGAAGAAGGUUUUCGGAUCGUAAAGCUCUGUUGUAAGAGAAGAACGAGUGUGAGAGUGGAAAGUUCACACUGUGACGGUAUCUUACCAGAAAGGGACGGCUAACUACGUG